GUGCUAUUCGGUCAAACGCAACCUGCUGAUCGUUGUGCUCAGCAGGUUGCGUUUGACCGAAUAGCACU